AUGAACGCUGGCGGCGUGCCUAAUACAUGCAAGUCGAGCGAACAGACGAGGAGCUUGCUCCUCUGACGUUAGCGGCGGACGGGUGAGUAACACGUGGAUAACCUACCUAUAAGACUGGGAUAACUUCGGGAAACCGGAGCUAAUACCGGAUAAUAUAUUGAACCGCAUGGUUCAAUAGUGAAAGACGGUUUUGCUGUCACUUAUAGAUGGAUCCGCGCCGCAUUAGCUAGUUGGUAAGGUAACGGCUUACCAAGGCAACGAUGCGUAGCCGACCUGAGAGGGUGAUCGGCCACCCUGGAACUGGGACACGGUCCAGACGCCUACGGGAGGCAGCAGUAGGGAACCUUCCGCAAUGGGCGAAAGCUUGACGGAGCAACGCCGCGUGAGUGAUGAAGGUCUUCGGAUCGUAAAACUCUGUUAUUAGGGAAGAACAAAUGUGUAAGUAACUAUGCACGUCUUGACGGUACCUAAUCAGAAAGCCACGGCUAACUACGUG
rnacentral:rRNA from 1 species